UUUAAAUGCAACCAUUAGUUUCUGUGCCCAUCUUUGAUCGUCCUGUCUUAUUUGAAUUUUUUUUAUAAUUAGUAUUUUUGUUGUUAUAAGAUGAUAAAACAUGAAUAAUAUUUUAUGCGUGACUUAUGUUCUAUUUUUUUAAAAAAAAAUUUCAAAUAAGACGGACGAUCAAAGUUGGGUACGGAAAAUCAUGGGUACACUUAUA
rfam:Oryza sativa Japonica Group DNA, chromosome 5, cultivar: Nipponbare, complete sequence.